rnacentral:rRNA from 1 species
CCUACGGGUGGCAGCAGUGAGGAAUAUUGGUCAAUGGUCGAGAGCCUGAACCAGCCAAGUCGCGUGAGGGAAGAAGGUCCUGCGGAUUGUAAACCUCUUUUGUCAGGGAGCAAGGACCGCCACGCGUGGUGCGGCGAGAGUACCUGAAGAAAAAGCAUCGGCUAACUCCGUGCCAGCAGCCGCGGUAAUACGGAGGAUGCGAGCGUUAUCCGGAUUUAUUGGGUUUAAAGGGUGCGUAGGCGGGCCUUCAGGUCGGCGGUCAAAGUGCGGGGCUCAACCCCGGCGCGCCGUCGGAACCGGGGGACUCGAGUAGCGGAGAAGUAUGCGGAAUGCGUGGUGUAGCGGUGAAAUGCAUAGAUAUCACGCAGAACCCCGAUUGCGAAGGCAGCGUACCGGCUGGUCACUGACGCUGAGGCACGAAAGCGCGGGUAUCGAACAGGAUUAGAUACCCUAGUAGUC